rnacentral:rRNA from 1 species
UACAGAGGGGGCAAGCGUUGUUCGGAAUUACUGGGCGUAAAGGGCGCGUAGGCGGCCCGCUAAGUCGAACGUGAAAUCCCCGAGCUCAACUCGGGAACUGCGUCUGAUACUGGAUGGCUUGGAUUUGGGAGAGGGAUGCGGAAUUCCAGGUGUAGCGGUGAAAUGCGUAGAUAUCUGGAGGAACACCGGUGGCGAAGGCGGCAUCCUGGACCAACAUUGACGCUGAGGAGCGAAAGCCAGGGGAGCAAACGGG